ACAAUUUAAAAAAAAUUCAAGAAUAACGUGGAAUCGCUGAAGUGGAACCGGAGAGAGUUAACAUAACUUGGUAGCUAUAUUCUCUAUAGUCGCUUAGCUGUGGCUUUGGGGGGUGGACGCUACCUGUUGUUGCGCUGACUGCGUUGAUCAUGCUUUCCUAACAAUGUAGUGUUGCCCACAUUGUGGUGUCUUGCUUAUUGGGAGGUUUGUCAUGGUUAACGUCAAGCCUUAGUUUCUAGGGAGUCAGUGUGAAAGUUAACCACCUUUCCGACCCGUCUUGAAACACGGACCGAGGAGUGUAAUUUACACGCGAGUCAAAGGGCUGAGGAAACCUUAUGGCAUAAUGAAAGUAAAGACCGGUUAACCGGUUGACAUGGGAUCCGACUGAACUUCUUCAAAACGGAGCACCAUGGCCCUGUCUUGUCUGCUUGCAGAUGGGCAGCGGUAGAGCGUGUAGGUUGCGACCCGAAAGAUGGUGAACUAUGCUUGAGCAGGACAAAGCCAGAGGAAACUCUGGUGGAAGUCCUUAUCCUUUCUGACGUGCAAAUCGAUCGAUAUACUUGAGUAGAGGGGCGAAAAACUAAUCGAACCAUCUAGUACCUGGUGCCUUAAAAAAAAAA
rnacentral:rRNA from 1 species